rnacentral:lncRNA from 1 species
CCAUGCUCAGCCAACAAAAAGCAUUUUAUAAUAAAGAUCCAGGCUCCGGAAGUCAGCAGGCCUCGCUGCUGGGGCACAGCCCUGACCUUCAUGCCUGAGGGAAGCUGAAUAUGCAAAACCGGACUUGGCCAGCAGCGUGCGAGCGUUUGGUGAGACAUCAGGAAGAACUGAGCUCAAAGCUGGAGGUCGAACACUGGGAUGAACACCUGGGGAAGAACUCAGGAUCUCCAUCUUUUAAAAACAUUUAAAAAAAUAGCCUUACUGGUUUUGGAAAAGCUGCAUCUACUCAUUGAAAAAAAUGCAAACCAUAUAGAAAAGAGCAUCAGAGAAAGGAAAAUCAGCUUCACCCCCCACCCCCCCGCCCCAAAGAUCACCACUGCUACCAUUUGUGGGGCCCUCCUGCCGAAUGUCUGUAGGCAUUGUGCAGACGCUCAGAGAUGCUCGGGUGCUUCUCUCCAGGCGGGGCCCGUGGCAUGGACUCUUUUGCCCA